ensembl:lncRNA
UGACCUUAAAUAACCAGUGUAGUGUAUUUAUUUUUUUAUUUUUUUUCAAUUUUUCCCAGAACAACCACCAUUUUGUUCCCAUUGGAGUAAUGCUGUAGAGCACUUGCAUCAGACAACAAGACCUGAUGUUGGUGCCAGGCUCUAUUGAUCAGUCCUAACAGUUAUUCCAGCCCUUUAAACUCGGCCCAGGACUACUGCAGCACAGAAUUAAAUGAAAUAAAUCCCUCAGAGACAACAGAAUGGUGCAUGAAGGCCCAAUUAGGACAGUAUAUGCAAAAGGCCGGGCACUGAAGAGUGAAGCUGAAUGUCAGAGCCUGUAAGUCACGUAAAGUUCACCCCGUCACAUCUUUGAUGAACCUGUUCAAGCUUUAGCUAAUUUUGCAUUUGCUUCCAUUUUAAUUAACCAAACAAAAGAAUAUUAUCUUGCUUACCAAAGCAUUUUGAAACUCUGAUGACAAUUGAAUUCAAGUGUGAUGCAGUGAUCACAUCUAUGGUGUCUUGAUUCAGAUUUCACAUUGAUUCAUCCAACAUUGGGAAAAGGCUGUCACUUGUUCUGACUCUUAAAGGGAUAGUUCACCCAAAAAUGAAAAUAAUUAUUUACUCACCCUCAGGUUGUUCAAAAUAUCUUAUUUUAUGUGCUACAUAAAUCAUUUGAUAUGAUGCGAUGUGAUGAAAGUAUGUGAUAGAUGGCAAAUGUUUUGCGUUUCAAAACCAAAUUAACUAAAUAAAAUGGCUUUUUUAUAUAUGAAAUGUUAUUUC